rnacentral:rRNA from 1 species
AACUAACGCUGGCGGCGUGCCUAACACAUGCAAGUCGUACGAGAAAGCCGGCUUCGGCUGGUGAGUAAAGUGGCGCACGGGUGAGUAACGCGUGGAUAAUCUGCCCUUAAGUGUGGAAUAACGUACCGAAAGGUGCGCUAAUACCGCAUAAUGCCUGGCAACACAAGUUGUCCGGCCAAAGAAGGCCUCUGUUUACAAGCUUUCGCUUCAGGAUGAGUCCGCGUACCAUUAGCUAGUUGGUGAGGUAAAGGCUCACCAAGGCGGCGAUCUGUAGCGGGUCUGAGAGGAUGAUCCGCCACACUGGAACUGAGACACGGUCCAGACUCCUGCGGGAGGCAGCAGUGGGGAAUUUUUGGACAAUGGGGGCAACCCCUGAUCCAGCCAUGCCGCGUGAGUGAAGAAGGCCUUCGGUUGUAAGACUCUUCGGUCCGGGUAAAAACGUACGACGAUCAGUAAUACUACGGUGUGGAUGAUGGUACCGGAAUAAGAAGCACCGGCUAACU